rnacentral:rRNA from 1 species
GUCCACGCUGUAAACGAUGGGCACUAGGUGUAGGAGGUAUUGACCCCUUCUGUGCCGAAGCUAACGCAUUAAGUGCCCCGCCUGGGGAGUACGGCCGCAAGGCUAAACUCAAAGGAAUUGACGGGGCCCGCACAAGCGGUGGAGCAUGUGGUUCAAUUCGACGCAACGCGAAGAACCUUACCUGGGUUUGACAUCCGCUGACCGUCCUGGAAACAGGAUUUUCCCCGCAAGGGGACAGCGAGACAGGUGCUGCAUGGCUGUCGU